rnacentral:misc_RNA from 1 species
GAUGAAGAACGUAGCGAAAUGCGAUAAGUAAUGUGAAUUGCAGAAUUCAGUGAAUCAUCGAAUCUUUGAACGCACAUUGCGCCCCCUGGUAUUCCGGGGGGCAUGCCUGUUCGAGCGUCAUUUCACCACUCAAGCCUCGCUUGGUAUUGGGCGACGCGGUCCGCCGCGCGCCUCAAAUCGACCGGCUGGGUCUUUCGUCCCCUCAGCGUUGUGGAAACUAUUCGCUAAAGGGUGCCGCGGGAGGCCCCGCCGUAAAACAACCCCAUUUCUAAGGUUGACCUCGGAUCAGGUAGGGAUACCCGCUGAACUUAAGCAUAUCAAUAAGCGGAGGA